GACAGAGGGUGCAAACGUUUGUUCGGAAUUACUGGGCGUAAAGAGCGUGUAGGCGGCUAGGUAGGUCCGUUGUGAAAACUCGAGGCUCAACCUCGAGACGCCGAUGGAAACCAUCAGACUAGAGUCCGGAAGAGGAGAGUGGAAUUCCUGGUGUAGCGGUGAAAUGCGCAGAUAUCAGGAGGAACACCAAUAGCGAAGGCAGCUCGCUGGGACGUUACUGACACUAAGGCGCGAAAGCGUGGGGAGCGAACAGG
rnacentral:rRNA from 1 species